GUGGGGAAUCUUGCGCAAUGGGCGAAAGCCUGACGCAGCCAUGCCGCGUGAAUGAUGAAGGUCUUAGGAUUGUAAAAUUCUUUCACCGGGGACGAUAAUGACGGUACCCGGAGAAGAAGCUCCGGCUAACUUCGUGCCAGCAGCCGCGGUAAUACGAAGGGGGCUAGCGUUGCUCGGAAUUACUGGGCGUAAAGGGCGCGUAGGCGGACAGCUUAGUCAGAGGUGAAAGCCCAGGGCUCAACCUUGGAAUUGCCUUUGAUACUGGCUGUCUUGAGUUUGGGAGAGGUGAGUGGAACUCCGAGUGUAGAGGUGAAAUUCGUAGAUAUUCGGAAGAACACCAGUGGCGAAGGCGACUCACUGGCCCAAUACUGACGCUGAGGCGCGAAAGCGUGGGGAGCGAACAGGAUUAGAUACCCCUGUAGUCC
rnacentral:rRNA from 1 species